UACGAGGGGGGCGAGCGUUGUUCGGAAUUAUUGGGCGUAAAGGGUGCGUAGGCGGUUUGGUAAGUCUGAUGUGAAAUCUAUGGGCUCAACUCAUAGUCUGCAUCGGAAACUGCCGGGCUUGAGUAUGGGAGAGGUGAGUGGAAUUCCUGGUGUAGCGGUGAAGUGCGUAGAUAUCAGGAGGAACACCUGUGGCGAAAGCGGCUCACUGGACCAUAACUGACGCUGAUGCACGAAAGCUAGGGGAGCAAACAGG
rnacentral:rRNA from 1 species